AUGCCCCUUUGCUCAGAUAAAAACCUGAACUACUGCAGAUCAAACCACUCCGUACAGCUAAGUGAAGAUCACAGACCUUUCAACUGAGCAGUUUUAGGACAAACAAAGCAGUGAAGAUGAAGGUGAUGCCCUGCUUCAUGCUGUGUGUCCUGCUGGCAGCUGGAACCAGUCUGGCUGUGGAUGUGAACUGGCUGACUGAAGUUGUCAAAGCCAUCAGGGACAAGUACAAGAUAGAUGGACAGUUUUGUCUAGCUGCAAACAUCCCACUGCAGUGCGACCCCAACACACUUAAUGAAAUACUCAGAGACGACAGCUAUGAAGAAGUGAGGACAGUCAUUGGGGAAAGAAACUCUGGAGAGCGUAACGUUUAUGAAGGCAACCGAGUGGUUAUAGCCAGGUUUCGAAAACCUGAACACGCAGAAUAUCGAGUUCUACAAAAACUAAAACAAUUGAGCCAAAACAGCGAUGGAAACUUCCUGCUCCUCUACUCUUAUCUCUCCCCAUGUAGCAGGUGUACAGAAUUAAGUGAUAACAAUAACAUCCUUAAACAGAUUAACGAGUACAUUCACAGAUGGACAGACAGAGCCUUUGUGUUUACAAAAGUUUAUGACAAAUCAAAUUCUGAAACUCAGUCUGCAGUCGGUGUUAGCACACACAGAACCAUAGACAGAGAGGAGUUGAUAAAUUCACUUCACGCGCUCGCGUCUUCAAUGGGCCUCAGAAACAUAUUUCGUUGUGAUGGACCGCGUAAUUCUGAGUUAGAGUGUCACAGCUGCUAUCCAAAUGGCAUAUAUUUGGAGUUUUGUAUUAAUAACAAAGCUAGCCCUCAACAGGCAGAAAACCAUAGAUGGGAAAGGAGACAGAGUGAGAGCAGCAGAGUAGAAAGAAGAUGGGGAAACAGGAGCAGCAGUGGGAGCAGGCCCAACAGGAAAAACAUGGGUGGAGGCAGCAGCAGCAAGCGGAAGAUGUACAGGAGUCAGAGUGAGAGCAGCAGCAGCAGCAGAAACAGUAAAAAGCCAGAAGACACAAAGGUGGAGGCAGGAGCAGCAGGAAGUGAAGCAACCAUAGUAGCAAGAGAAGGAGCAGAGAAGGAAGUACAUGGGGAAGCAGGGGGAGGAGCAGCAGUAAAAACAGGUGGAGGCUCCAGGAGGAGCAGUAGCAGUAAAGGUUAG